rnacentral:antisense_RNA from 1 species
ACCUCGGGGGUUUCCUGCUUUAUGGCGAAGGAUGGAGUUUUGCUCUUGUUGCCCAAGCUGGAGUGCAAUGGUGUGAUCUUGGCUCACUGCAACCUCUGCUUCCUGGGUUCAAGUGAUUCCCCUGCCUCAGCCUCCCGAGUAGCAGGGAUUACAGGAGUGAUGCUCUCCACUCUGUGAAUGUGGCUUUGGGUAUGGCUAAUCCACACCCUGCACUCUGGCCUUCAGAAGCCCAGGGAGAGAAGCCUCCCAGAAGCAACCUUCCAGAACCUUCUCCAUACUCCCACCGACCUCCCCAGCCCCUGUCUUCUCUUUGAAUCUCGUUGUCAAGUUCUUUCCUGGCUCCUUGAGGGGAGGUGCAGCUUUCAUCUGACCAUGCAGGCGUGCUUUGCAGUGGGUAGAGCAGUGCUUUCCUCCUCCCAGCUGCACACUGGAAUCACCUGGAGAGUCCAGAAACUUCCCGCCUCAGUGAAAGAACAUCAGUGUAUCAGCACAGCAAAGAUUCCAAAUGCCAGGCUGGAUUGCCUCCAAUUACCAGGACCUCCAGGCUUCUC